rnacentral:rRNA from 1 species
GGGAAGGUGGCGGCGUGCUAUACAUGCAAGUCGAACGAACUCUGGUAUUGAUUGAGUGCUUGCAUCAUGAUUUACAUUUGAGUGAGUGGCGAACUGGUGAGUAACACGUGGGAAACCUGCCCAGAAGCGGGGGAUAACACCUGGAAACAGAUGCUAAUACCGCAUAACAACUUGGACCGCAUGGUCCGAGUUUGAAAGAUGGCUUCGGCUAUCACUUUUGGAUGGUCCCGCGGCGUAUUAGCUAGAUGGUGGGGUAACGGCUCACCAUGGCAAUGAUACGUAGCCGACCUGAGAGGGUAAUCGGCCACAUUGGGACUGAGACACGGCCCAAACUCCUACGGGAGGCAGCAGUAGGGAAUCUUCCACAAUGGACGAAAGUCUGAUGGAGCAACGCCGCGUGAGUGAAGAAGGGUUUCGGCUCGUAAAACUCUGUUGUUAAAGAAGAACAUAUCUGAGAGUAACUGUUCAGGUAUUGACGGUAUUUAACCAGAAAGCCACGGCUAACUACGUGCCAGCAGCCGCGGUAAUACGUAGGUGGCAAGCGUUGUCCGGAUUUAUUGGGCGUAAAGCGAGCGCAGGCGGUUUUUUAAGUCUGAUGUGAAAGCCUUCGGCUCAACCGAAGAAGUGCAUCGGAAACUGGGAAACUUGAGUGCAGAAGAGGACAGUGGAACUCCAUGUGUAGCGGUGAAAUGCGUAGAUAUAUGGAAGAACACCAGUGGCGAAGGCGGCUGUCUGGUCUGUAACUGACGCUGAGGCUCGAAAGUAUGGGUAGCAAACAGGAUUAGAUACCCUGGUAGUCCAUACCGUAAACGAUGAAUGCUAAGUGUUGGAGGGUUUCCGCCCUUCAGUGCUGCAGCUAACGCAUUAAGCAUUCCGCCUGGGGAGUACGGCCGCAAGGCUGAAACUCAAAGGAAUUGACGGGGGCCCGCACAAGCGGUGGAGCAUGUGGUUUAAUUCGAAGCUACGCGAAGAACCUUACCAGGUCUUGACAUACUAUGCAAAUCUAAGAGAUUAGACGUUCCCUUCGGGGACAUGGAUACAGGUGGUGCAUGGUUGUCGUCAGCUCGUGUCGUGAGAUGUUGGGUUAAGUCCCGCAACGAGCGCAACCCUUAUUAUCAGUUGCCAGCAUUAAGUUGGGCACUCUGGUGAGACUGCCGGUGACAAACCGGAGGAAGGUGGGGAUGACGUCAAAUCAUCAUGCCCCUUAUGACCUGGGCUACACACGUGCUACAAUGGAUGGUACAACGAGUUGCGAACUCGCGAGAGUAAGCUAAUCUCUUAAAGCCAUUCUCAGUUCGGAUUGUAGGCUGCAACUCGCCUACAUGAAGUCGGAAUCGCUAGUAAUCGCGGAUCAGCAUGCCGCGGUGAAUACGUUCCCGGGCCUUGUACACACCGCCCGUCACACCAUGAGAGUUUGUAACACCCAAAGUCGGUGGGGUAACCUUUUAGGAACCAGCCGCCUAAGGUGACAGAAGGGG